rnacentral:misc_RNA from 1 species
CGGGUGACGCGAGAGCGUGUC